rnacentral:rRNA from 1 species
AUUAGAUACCCUGGUAGUCCACGCAGUAAACGAUGAAUGCUAGAUGUCCGGGUCGAAUGAGACCUGGGUGUCACAGCGAAAGCGUUAAGCAUUCCACCUGGGGAGUACGCCGGCAACGGUGAAACUCAAAGGAAUUGACGGGGGCCCGCACAAGCGGAGGAACAUGUGGUUUAAUUCGAUGAUACGCGAGGAACCUUACCCGGGCUCAAACGUGGAAGGAAUGAGUGUGAAAGCAUUCAGUCCUCCGGGACUUUCCACGAGGUGCUGCAUGGUUGUCGUCAGCUCGUGCCGUGAGGUGUCGGCUUAAGUGCCAUAACGAGCGCAACCCCCAUCGACAGUUGCUAACAGGUAAAGCUGAGGACUCUGUCGAGACUGCCGGCGCAAGCUGUGAGGAAGGCGGGGAUGACGUCAAAUCAGCACGGCCCUUACGUCCGGGGCGACACACGUGUUACAAUGGCAGGGACAGCGGGAAGCCAUCCGGCGACGGAGAGCGGAACCCGAAAACCUGUCUCAGUUCGGAUUGGAGUCUGCAACCCGACUCCAUGAAGCUGGAUUCGCUAGUAAUCGCGCAUCAGCCACGGCGCGGUGAAUACGUUCCCGGGCCUUGUACACACCGCCCGUCAGGCCAUGGAAGCCGGGAGUGCCUGAAGUACGCGACCGCAAGGAGCGUCCUAAGGUAAAACUGGUGACUGGGGCUAAGUCGUAACAAGGUACC